rnacentral:rRNA from 1 species
CGGGACACGUGGUAUCCUGUCUGAAUAUGGGGGGACCAUCCUCCAAGGCUAAAUACUCCUGACUGACCGAUAGUGAACCAGUACCGUGAGGGAAAGGCGAAAAGAACCCCGGCGAGGGGAGUGAAAAAGAACCUGAAACCGUGUACGUACAAGCAGUGGGAGCACAGAGCAAUCUGUGUGACUGCGUACCUUUUGUAUAAUGGGUCAGCGACUUAUAUUCUGUAGCAAGGUUAACCGAAUAGGGGAGCCGAAGGGAAACCGAGUCUUAACUGGGCGUUAAGUUGCAGGGUAUAGACCCGAAACCCGGUGAUCUAGCCAUGGGCAGGUUGAAGGUUGGGUAACACUAACUGGAGGACCGAACCGACUAAUGUUGAAAAAUUAGCGGAUGACUUGUGGCUGGGGGUGAAAGGCCAAUCAAACCGGGAGAUAGCUGGUUCUCCCCGAAAGCUAUUUAGGUAGCGCCUCGUGAAUUCAUCUCCGGGGGUAGAGCACUGUUUCGGCAAGGGGGUCAUCCCGACUUACCAACCCGAUGCAAACUGCGAAUACCGGAGAAUGUUAUCACGGGAGACACACGGCGGGUGCUAACGUCCGUCGUGAAGAGGGAAACAACCCAGACCGCCAGCUAAGGUCCCAAAGUCAUGGUUAAGUGGGAAACGAUGUGGGAAGGCCCAGACAGCCAGGAUGUUGGCUUAGAAGCAGCCAUCAUUUAAAGAAAGCGUAAUAGCUCACUGGUCGAGUCGGCCUGCGCGGAAGAUGUAACGGGGCUAAACCAUGCACCGAAGCUGCGGCAGCGACGCUUAUGCGUUGUUGGGUAGGGGAGCGUUCUGUAAGCCUGCGAAGGUGUGCUGUGAGGCAUGCUGGAGGUAUCAGAAGUGCGAAUGCUGACAUAAGUAACGAUAAAGCGGGUGAAAAGCCCGCUCGCCGGAAGACCAAGGGUUCCUGUCCAACGUUAAUCGGGGCAGGGUGAGUCGACCCCUAAGGCGAGGCCGAAAGGCGUAGUCGAUGGGAAACAGGUUAAUAUUCCUGUACUUGGUGUUACUGCGAAGGGGGGACGGAGAAGGCUAUGUUGGCCGGGCGACGGUUGUCCCGGUUUAAGCGUGUAGGCUGGUUUUCCAGGCAAAUCCGGAAAAUCAAGGCUGAGGCGUGAUGACGAGGCACUACGGUGCUGAAGCAACAAAUGCCCUGCUUCCAGGAAAAGCCUCUAAGCAUCAGGUAACAUCAAAUCGUACCCCAAACCGACACAGGUGGUCAGGUAGAGAAUACCAAGGCGCUUGAGAGAACUCGGGUGAAGGAACUAGGCAAAAUGGUGCCGUAACUUCGGGAGAAGGCACGCUGAUAUGUAGGUGAAGUCCCUCGCGGAUGGAGCUGAAAUCAGUCGAAGAUACCAGCUGGCUGCAACUGUUUAUUAAAAACACAGCACUGUGCAAACACGAAAGUGGACGUAUACGGUGUGACGCCUGCCCGGUGCCGGAAGGUUAAUUGAUGGGGUUAGCGCAAGCGAAGCUCUUGAUCGAAGCCCCGGUAAACGGCGGCCGUAACUAUAACGGUCCUAAGGUAGCGAAAUUCCUUGUCGGGUAAGUUCCGACCUGCACGAAUGGCGUAAUGAUGGCCAGGCUGUCUCCACCCGAGACUCAGUGAAAUUGAACUCGCUGUGAAGAUGCAGUGUACCCGCGGCAAGACGGAAAGACCCCGUGAACCUUUACUAUAGCUUGACACUGAACAUUGAGCCUUGAUGUGUAGGAUAGGUGGGAGGCUUUGAAGUGUGGACGCCAGUCUGCAUGGAGCCGACCUUGAAAUACCACCCUUUAAUGUUU